CGAGGCGCCUGGUGGCGAAGCUGUGCCCGCACAGCCCGGCCCGGUCGCUCCCCUGGGCAGUGACUCACCGCUGUGCCCCGCCGCAGAGCCGCAGGUGGGGACCCUCAGUGCCGGCCGCAGCGUGGAGCCGCGGACGGUCGCGCUCACUCGCUCACUCACACGGGCGGAGUCCCAGUUCCCGCCCUGGGACGCCCCUGCUCUCGGGAGGGGACGAAGCUCCUCUUCCGUCGUCUGACGGGCCUGGCUCGGGCGGUCCCGGGACCUCACCUGGUCGGAAGCUUCCAGACUGAUUUGACUGGUCCGUCCCUCCGCGAUUAAAUUCAGGAAAACUGAGGAAGAUACACUCCAUUUCAAACCUUUAACAGGGUGAGGUACAAGUGAAGACAGAGGCCUUUUCACACCUUGUAAAAAUCCGUGCUUUGGGAUUGGAUGAACUCUUGGAAAGCAUUUUCUGCAUCCUGCUGGUUGUGGAGGCAUUUCCCCUGCAGAAAGAUGCCGAGAUGCUUGAAGAAGUGGGAGUCGGUUGGCGAGAGGACAAGUGAAUUUGGCGGAGGAAGCAAAACUUUGCAGCCCAAUCCGUGCAGCUUUGGAAGUGUCGGUUGUGCGACGUGAGGUCUGGCGUUGUCCUGGAGAAUCGCGCCCUUUCUGUCGACCAGUGCCGGCUACAGGCAUUGCAG